rnacentral:snRNA from 1 species
AUCGUUUCUCAGCCUUUUGGCUAAGAUCAAGUGUAGUCUC